rnacentral:rRNA from 1 species
CUCAGAUUGAACGCUGGCGGCAUGCCUUACACAUGCAAGUCGAACGGCAGCACGGGCUUCGGCCUGGUGGCGAGUGGUGAACGGGUGAGUAAUACAUCGGAACAUGUCCUGUAGUGGGGGAUAGCCCGGCGAAAGCCGGAUUAAUACCGCAUACGAUCUGAGGAUGAAAGCGGGGGACCUUCGGGCCUCGCGCUAUAGGGUUGGCCGAUGGCUGAUUAGCUAGUUGGUGGGGUAAAGGCCUACCAAGGCGACGAUCAGUAGCUGGUCUGAGAGGACGACCAGCCACACUGGGACUGAGACACGGCCCAGACUCCUACGGGAGGCAGCAGUGGGGAAUUUUGGACAAUGGGCGCAAGCCUGAUCCAGCAAUGCCGCGUGUGUGAAGAAGGCCUUCGGGUUGUAAAG